UAAGAGCUUGCUCUUAUGAAGUUAGCGGCGGACGGGUGAGUAACACGUGGGUAACCUGCCCAUAAGACUGGGAUAACUCCGGGAAACCGGGGCUAAUACCGGAUAACAUUUUGAACCGCAUGGUUCGAAAUUGAAAGGCGGCUUCGGCUGUCACUUAUGGAUGGACCCGCGUCGCAUUAGCUAGUUGGUGAGGUAACGGCUCACCAAGGCAACGAUGCGUAGCCGACCUGAGAGGGUGAUCGGCCACACUGGGACUGAGACACGGCCCAGACUCCUACGGGAGGCAGCAGUAGGGAAUCUUCCGCAAUGGACGAAAGUCUGACGGAGCAACGCCGCGUGAGUGAUGAAGGCUUUCGGGUCGUAAAACUCUGUUGUUAGGGAAGAACAAGUGCUAGUUGAAUAAGCUGGCACCUUGACGGUACCUAACCAGAAAGCCACGGCUAACUACGUGCCAGCAGCCGCGGUAAUACGUAGGUGGCAAGCGUUAUCCGGAAUUAUUGGGCGUAAAGCGCGCGCAGGUGGUUUCUUAAGUCUGAUGUGAAAGCCCACGGCUCAACCGUGGAGGGUCAUUGGAAACUGGGAGACUUGAGUGCAGAAGAGGAAAGUGGAAUUCCAUGUGUAGCGGUGAAAUGCGUAGAGAUAUGGAGGAACACCAGUGGCGAAGGCGACUUUCUGGUCUGUAACUGACACUGAGGCGCGAAAGCGUGGGGAGCAAACAGGAUUAGAUAC
rnacentral:rRNA from 1 species